GCAAUACACGAAAGUGUGACGGGGUUACCCAAAGUGUUCAAUUUUGAACUGUGGUAGGUGAGUAAUGUUCCCUACUAGAAAGGAGAGGGCAAGGCUGGUGCCAGCCGCCGCGGUAAAACCAGCUCUUCAAGUGGUCGGGAUAAUUAUUGGGCUUAAAGUGUCCGUAGCCGGUUUAGUAAGUUCCUGGUAAAAUCGGGUAGCUUAACUAUCUAUAUGCUAGGAAUACUACUAUACUAGAGGGCGGGAGAGGUCUGAGGUACUACAGGGGUAGGGGUGAAAUCUUAUAAUCCUUGUAGGACCACCAGUGGCGAAGGCGUCAGACUGGAACGCGCCUGACGGUGAGGGACGAAAGCCAGGGGAGCGAACCGGAUUAGAUACCCGGGUAGUCCUGGCCGUAAACGAUGCAUACUAGGUGAUGGCACGGCCAUGAGCCGUGUCAGUGCCGUAGGGAAACCGUUAAGUGUGCCGCCUGGGAAGUACGGUCGCAAGGCUAAAACUUAA
rnacentral:rRNA from 1 species